rnacentral:rRNA from 1 species
UACGUAGGGCGCAAGCGUUAUCCGGAAUUAUUGGGCGUAAAGAGCUCGUAGGCGGUUUGUCGCGUCUGCCGUGAAAGUCCGGGGCUCAACUCCGGAUCUGCGGUGGGUACGGGCAGACUAGAGUGAUGUAGGGGAGACCGGAGUUCCUGGUGUAGCGGUGAAAUGCGCAGAUAUCAGGAGGAACACCGAUGGCGAAGGCAGGUCUCUGGGCAUUAACUGACGCUGAGGAGCGAAAGCAUGGGGAGCGAACAGG